UACGUAGGGAGCAAGCGUUGUCCGGAAUCAUUGGGCGUAAAGCGCGCGUGGGCGGCCCUGUAAGUCCGUUGUGAAAGUCAAAGGCUCAACCUUUGAAAGCCGAUGGAUACUGCAGGGCUAGAGUCCGGAAGAGGCGAGUGGAAUUCCUGGUGUAGCGGUGGAAUGCGCAGAUAUCAGGAGGAACACCUGUGGCGAAAGCGGCGCACUGGACCACAACUGACGCUGAGGCGCGAAAGCUAGGGGAGCAAACAGG
rnacentral:rRNA from 1 species